rnacentral:rRNA from 1 species
UACGUAGGGGGCAAGCGUUGUCCGGAUUUAUUGGGCGUAAAGAGCGUGUAGGCGGCCAGACAGGUCCGUUGUGAAAACUCGAGGCUCAACCUCGAGACGCCGAUGGAAACCGUCUGGCUAGAGUCCGGAAGAGGAGAGUGGAAUUCCUGGUGUAGCGGUGAAAUGCGCAGAUAUCAGGAGGAACACCAAUGGCGAAGGCAGCUCGCUGGGACGUGACUGACGCUGAGACGCGAAAGCGUGGGAAGCAAACAGG